ensembl:snoRNA
AGCACUGUGUUUGCUUUUGUUUCAUUUGUGGACAAAGACAAGAGCCCAAGGUGAGUCCCGUCCUGCAGCCCAGAACUCACUGUUCAUUCUGAGUGUUGACACGGAUAAGAAGGAACAAC